rnacentral:sRNA from 2 species
AGCUGAUGCAUUUCGUGGUUUCUCUCCCAGUACCACCGCAUUAGCUGUUCCCCUCUGGAGGUUUUUGACCUUCACAAUUAUAAGGGCCCUGGUUUUUCCGGUGGCCCUCUUUU